rnacentral:lncRNA from 1 species
GCUUGAAGGACUACCCUCACUUCUGGGCAUUCAGAGGCAAAUACAGACCAUUCAAUAGAGCUGGGCUGGCUCUUUUAUAAACUAUUUAACUUGGCAGAGAGACAGACAUAGACACAGACAGACAUACAUAGACAGGCAGGCAGAUAAAUAGACAGAAAGCUUACUAAAGCAGAUUCACAGACAGACAAACAUAGACACAGACAUACAUACAUACAUAGACAGGCAGAUAGAAAGAUUAAACAGAGAUUGACAGAUAAUACCUGUGACGAAGUGCCCUUCGCUACUUGUGCCAGGAGGGGACUACUGGCUAGCCUCCUGCCUUCAGACUAUGGCCCCUGUGCUGAUAGCUGUAUUUUCUCCUGCAGAAAGGUUUAUUUGUGUAUUUCUGCCGGGGCGUUCAGGACUUUCAGUAUGUGAGUAGUGCUACCCCAGAUAUCUAUGCCAUGGAGCCUAUGCGUGUAACAAAAGACUAUGGAAAAGACUUUGGCUCCAUGGCGAUUGAACUGUAUGUAGGUGAUCUAAGCGCCAUUUGGUAAUAAUGUGCGCUCAGAUUUAAGCUAUCUGGGGAUAUGUUGCAUGUAUAUGUUUUAUGUAGUAAUUGUAACAUUGUGUAAUUUUAUGUCUUUUUGUAACCAUGUGGUUAAUGGAGUCUUGCCUCUGUCCUGGGAGAUAAUUUGAUUACUUCCCAAUUAUCUCCAGGAUAGAGAGGAGGGAUUGUGAUGUCACUGUGGGAGUGUUUUGCUUGUAUUGUCUGUGAUUGGCUAAUAUCCAAUAUGUGUCCCAUUGUUCCAUCAGGUCCCCUACGGGAGUGUCCACCUGGUGGACACUUCCAUAAAUACCGGGCAGGUAGCCCUCAAUAAACCAGACCUACUUGCACCUUUCUUGAAGCGUUGGCUCAUGCUUGGGGGAGGGAUACCUACACUCUGGGGAUUGCUAUAAUCACUUACUCCCCAGAGUAAGCUCUUGUAAGAGCUUGAUUUGUUCCUGCUACGCUCUCUGCAUUUAGGAGAGGUUCACCCACUGGGAGCUGGAUCCUGGUCAUGGAUCCAGGGUGGGUGAGAGACGGCGAGACCCCGGCACAGUUGCAUCGCUGGAAGUGGGGUCCGCAGUGCUGAUGGUGUCGGUUGGAGUGCUCGGAGUCCUCGGCAAGCGCUAGGAGACUCAAUUGGCGGAGGUACUCAGUCGGAGUGCCAGCGGUCUGUCACAAUACCGAUACCUGUACAGACAAUUUUCUCGCUCCCCUAUUUGCAACCCAACCAAAGCAGCGCAUGCAAUGGUUAAAAUCCCCAUAGUAGAAACACCAAUUUUUCCUAAUGGGUAUACGAGUAGCUGUGCAAAUUAUAUCGCCCCCUGCUAGAACCUCCAUUGUUGAGAUCAGAUUGAGGGUAUUCAAGCUCCAAGUCUUCAGACACAUCCAAGCGAGGCAGAGAUCUCUAUGCCAUUGAGAAGGUAGGAGAACCAUGAAUCUAGGUGAUACUUAGUCAGGGUCUCAGUUAUAACUGGGAAGAAAUAGAAUGUUCAAGCAGUUACAUCAGCAGUUAUGUGUAUGACAUCACAG